GGCCUUUAGGAAGAGAGCAAAUGAAUUCAGAUACAUUUGCCAUCCAACUUGGGAACCCUUUAUAAAGUGAGACUUGGUCUCCAGAGUCUGGAAAACAACAUAUCCCAGUUGUCUCUUCAUCACUUUAAAAUACAGAACACAUCAACACUGGAUACC
rnacentral:lncRNA from 12 species